rnacentral:rRNA from 1 species
UACGAAGGGGGCUAGCGUUGCUCGGAAUCACUGGGCGUAAAGGGUGCGUAGGCGGGUCUUUAAGUCAGGGGUGAAUCUCGGAGCUCAACUCCAGAACUGCCUUUGAUACUGAGGAUCUUGAGUUCGGGAGAGGUGAGUGGAACUGCGAGUGUAGAGGUGAAAUUCGUAGAUAUUCGCAAGAACACCAGUGGCGAAGGCGGCUCACUGGCCCGAUACUGACGCUGAGGCACGAAAAGCGUGGGGGAGCAAACAGGG